rnacentral:rRNA from 1 species
GACGAACGCUGGUGGCGUGCUUAACACAUGCAAGUCGAGCGAUGAAGCUCCUUCGGGAGUGGAUUAGCGGCGGACGGGUGAGUAACACGUGGGCAACCUGCCUUGUAGAGAGGAAUAGCCAUUCGAAAGGAUGAUUAAUACCUCAUAAUAUUGUAGCUUCGCAUGAAGCAACAAUCAAAGGAGCAAUCCACUACAAGAUGGGGCCCCGCGGCGCAUUAGCUAGUUGGUGAGGUAACGGCUCACCAAGGCGACGAUGCGUAGCCGACCUGAGAGGGUGAUCGGCCACAUUGGGACUGAGACACGGCCCAGACUCCUACGGGAGGCAGCAGUGGGGAAUAUUGCACAAUGGGGGAAACCCUGAUGCAGCAACGCCGCGUGAGUGAUGACGGUCUUCGGAUUGUAAAGCUCUGUCUUCAGGGACGAUAAUGACGGUACCUGAGGAGGAAGCCACGGCUAACUACGUGCCAG